rnacentral:rRNA from 1 species
AUUGAACGCUGGCGGCAUGCCUUACACAUGCAAGUCGAACGGUAACAGGUUAAGCUGACGAGUGGCGAACGGGUGAGUAAUAUAUCGGAACGUGCCCAGUCGUGGGGGAUAACUGCUCGAAAGAGCAGCUAAUACCGCAUACGACCUGAGGGUGAAAGCGGGGGAUCGCAAGACCUCGCGCGAUUGGAGCGGCCGAUAUCAGAUUAGGUAGUUGGUGGGGUAAAAGCCUACCAAGCCAACGAUCUGUAGCUGGUCUGAGAGGACGUCCAGCCACACUGGGACUGAGACACGGCCCAGACUCCUACGGGAGGCAGCAGUGGGGAAUUUUGGACAAUGGGCGCAAGCUUGAUCCAGCCAUGCCGCGUGCGGGAAGAAGGCCUUCGGGUUGUAAACCGCUUUUGUCAGGGAAGAAAAGGUUCUGGUUAAUACCUGGAGCUCAUGACGGUACCUGAAGAAUAAGCACCGGCUAACUACGUGCCAGCCGCCGCAGUAACAU